UUAUUUAACUGGUUUGUACACAUCUCAACUGGUUAUUAUCACUCAGCAGCCAUUACAGGUGAGAGAACUUCUGAUGUUCAAAGUAAAUAAUGUGGUAAAUGCUAGAAAUAAUUUAAUUCUUUAUGUUCCUAAUUUUCACAUUUAAGGCUUCUUGGACAAAGAUUACACAGUCAAUAAUUCUAAGCGUAUUUUGAGACUACGACAUAUCAGGUAUCUCUAAAAACCUUGAUUGUCAUGAGAGGGCUUCCAUGAGAAUGGAUUGAGAUAACACUUGGUACUAAAUCUAAAGCCAAGUGCGAUCCACAUUCUCACAUUAAUCAAUUGAUAUUAUAGUUUCACAUGAAGGAUACUAUGAGAUUGUAGAGAUUCUGUGAAUGACUAAACUCUAUGUGCCUCAAGUUCCAACAUCUUAAUGGGGAAACGAGUUGCAGUGAAUUGUAGAAGCAACA